GUUUGGCAGUACAUAUACUAACAUUGGAACGAUGCAAACAAAAUUAGCAUGACCUCUGUGCCAGGAUGACAUGCACAUCUGUGAAGCCUCCCAUUGCAUG
rnacentral:snRNA from 1 species